CAUAGAUACUAUAGAAGACAGCGCGCUAGCGGAUCUAGUCUGCUGUAUAUAUCUAUGGUCGGCACGUCUGGUAGCAUCUCUGACUGCUGUUGAUCUUGUUUUUGGAGUAAAACACGGUGGAAGCUGAAUUAGUGAGGAUGACUCCUGCUCCUGUCAUCUCUAAGCUCCUCACACAUCUUUACCUGCACAUGAGGAAAAUCACUCCUGUAGAAUGCAGUGGUUCAUCAGAACCUCUGGGGAUGUCCUGUGGAUCCUGUGGGUUGCAGGGUGGGUCCUACCUAGACCAGGCUGAUCCUGGACCAUCCCACAGAUGCUCCAUCAGAUCUGGAUGUGGGGAGUGUGGAACCCAGAUGUUCAGAGGGAGAUGAUGCCACAUCUGGUCCAGCUGAUGGAAGGUCUUGAAGUUCUCUGACUGGCCUGGACUGAAGAUGGUCGUCUCACUGGAUUUAAGGUUCAGAUGCUCAGUAACAAACUCCACCAAUGUGCCAACAGGGAAGCUUUAGGUUUAUUAAAUGUUGCUAUGAAGGUUUCGCUGUUUUUCUUUGUGGAUGCAAUGUGCUCCAACUGAAACUUGAAUUAGAACUUAGAAGUAAAUCCUUCCAUCUGACAGGAUUUAGUUGCAUUAAUAACCUCAUAACAUUCUAAUUUUUAUUCCAGUCUUGGUUGGAAAUAGAAUCUCUGUAUUGAUUCAGGUAAAAACUGAACUUCACAGCAUGUUGGAGCAAAACAACCAGAUGAAAACUGUGAUGGUGUUGGAUUGUCAGACCGUAAUGUUGCAGCUCAAAGCAGCUUUUCUAUCUCAGUUCAUUCUGACAUUCAGCUAUGAAUCAACACAGCAGAUGGUGAUCCAUGCUGUGGAAGUCUCACAUCUCCUGAUUUAAUGGAGCUGCUUUACACUUUUUACACUGUUUAUUCACCAACACUUUAUUUAAUAAAAGUCCCAUCUAGUUUUUCAUGAGGAAUGUGAUGUUUUAAUUUCUCUGUGAAUAACUGCAGUCUAAUGGAACAGCUGGAGUUGUAACAUCUGUCCUGAUAUUGAUCAUGAAGUAUUGAUCAGAAUACUUAUGGUCAGCAGUCAUCCCUGAAGUUUUACAUUAAAAUCUUUACUUGUGUUGUGAACUUUGGUAAGAAGCAGAAACUUUAGCGUUGCCAUGGAUACAGGAGUGUUAAAUUCUGUCCAUGUUUCCAUUUUGGGAAAUUCAGUCCAGUUCCAGAAUGUGGAGGAAUUUAGUCUCACAAUCACAGACAACAAAUAUUAUCUGAAAGUCGAGUCAUUGUUGUUUAUCAGCACAAUACAAAAAGAUUAAUGUUAGAAAUAUUCCAGUUAAGACUCUAGAAUAUCAUGAUUUAUGUAAAUUUACCUCGAUAAUCUGAAUGUUCAGGUUAAGAUUGUACAGUGAUAUUUAUUAUGUAAGUUUAGCUGAUUAAAGUUUAUUAUUUAUUAUUUAAAUUGACAUCAUUAUUAUAAUAUUUAGGGUCAGACCCUACAGGAUUGAGAUUAAGAAAUCAAAUAUUCUAUAAAAUGUAAAUACACUGAACUCAUUUGGAUAUAUUUAAGUGAAACUCUACAAUAUUAUUUGACACAAAUCUAUCUAAAUCAACAUUUUAAUCAUUUUUACUCCAAACAUUUACUGGGCUGGUUUAAAUAUUAAAAUCACUCCUUUCUGAUCCUCUGCUGUCUGUUCAAACCUGAGGCCUUAAAUCGAAACACACAAGUAUCUGAUUGAAGGAACUUCUGCAGAGUCCUGGUUCCAGAACAUGAUGAUAGAAUUAUAGACAAACUUUAACAAAAGCUGCCUGAGAGUUUACAGGUUUUUAUCUUAGAUUUCUUCAGUAAUUUAAUGAGAGUUAUCAGCAAAAAUCAGUUGUUCAUUUGAUGAACUUCAUUCCCUAAAACAUCCAGAAUUGGAGCUCUUAUCUUUGGCAGCUGUAAAGUUUCUGCUCCUUCAAAGUUCACAACACAAUGAAUGAAUUCCUAAAACACUCUCAAUGCUGGAGAGCGUUUGAUGCUGAAGCAGUGAUCAGUUUUUCUGUUUCUUCUCUGGAGAUGCACAAUGAGGGACGUCUGCAGUGACUGAGAAAGAGUCUCACCACAUCCUGACAUGAGGAAAAAGACUUUAUUGAAGACUACAAUGAGAAAAACUAUCAGACAGCAGACGGCUGCAUUCAAGGUGAGAUCUGAACAUUUGAUCUGGAACAGGAAUUCAAUAACGGCAGCAUGAGCUUCAUUUCAGUCUGUAGCUGCUGAAUUCAUGGAUGAAUCAUCUGGCACUAGAGAGGAAGACCAUCAAACAUCCAUGUCAGCUGAUGGAGGUCCAAGAGUCUCACCAAACAAACAACCUACAGAGUGAAGACCUCCAAUCUGAUUGGACGGCCUCCUAUUCAGCCACGUUUUAGGCUGUUAGAUUGUUCCAGAUAAGACGAGUACAAGAUUCUUCAGAGCCGUUCUACCACGAGCCUGACAGGAAGAACUCCAACAGCUACUGAAUGUUCCUGUGGUUCCCUCAAG